rnacentral:rRNA from 1 species
GACGAACGCUGGCGGCGUGCCUAAUACAUGCAAGUAGAACGCAGUUGCGAACGGGUGAGUAACGCGUAGGUAACCUGCCUCAUAGCGGGGGAUAACUAUUGGAAACGAUAGCUAAUACCGCAUACUGUGAGAUGGACCUGCGUUGUAUUAGCUCGUUGGUGAGGUAAAGGCGCACCAAGGCGACGAUACAUAGCCGACCUGAGAGGGUUGUCGGCCCCACUGGUACUGUGGCACGGCCCAGACUCCUACGGGAGGCAGCAGGGGGGAAUAUUGCACAAUGGGCGCAAGCCUGAUGCAGCCAUGCCGCGUGUAUGAAGAAGGCCUUCGGGUUGUAAAGUACUUUCCGCGGGGAGGCGUUACCCGCAGAAGAAGCACCGGCUAACUCCGUGCCAGCAGCCGCGGUAAUUC